AUUGUACUCCCUCCAUCCCAAAAUUCUUGUCUUAGAUUUGUCUACAUAUGAAUGUAUCUAUUCAUAUUUUAGUGUUAGAUACAUCCGUAUCAAGAUAAAACUAAGACAAGAAUUUUGGGACGAGUGAGUAGAUG
rfam:Triticum aestivum genome assembly, contig: Triticum_aestivum_CS42_TGACv1_scaffold_514694_6BS